AAGUCGUAACAAGGUUUCCGUAGGUGAACCUGCGGAAGGAUCAUUAACACGUAUCCAACGUUAAACCCCCCGUGAACCUUCAGUGCGCUCGCACUUUCUUAGAAAAGGUAGCAAUCCCUGGUAAAUCAUUGCCGAACAGUUUUGAUUCAGGGACUUCUGCGUAGACUGUGCUUGAGCGUGAGGCAAGUGGCCUGGCAUUCCUCUGCUUGUUGGUGUCUGAAAGUGUCACCAGCUCUGUACGAAUGGCGCAGGCCGACACGGCCGGCGACCACCUUUGCAUGAAAACGGGCCUGCGCUUAAUUGUGCGGCCACCAAACUCGAACAACUGUUAACAAUGGAUAUCUUGGUUCUC
rnacentral:misc_RNA from 1 species